rnacentral:rRNA from 1 species
AACGUAGGUGGCAAGCGUUAUCCGGAUUUACUGGGCGUAAAGCGUGUGCAGGCGGGCUGCCAAGUGGUGUAUGAAAUCGCCCGGCUCAACCGGGCGGGGUUAUGCCAGACUGGUGGUCUAGAGGAGGCGAGAGGGACGUGGAAUUCCGGGUGUAGUGGUGAAAUGCGUAGAGAUCCGGAGGAACCCCCGAGGCGAAGGCGGCGUCCUGGCGCCCUCCUGACGCUCAGACACGACAGCAUGGGGAGCGAACGGG